rnacentral:lncRNA from 1 species
AUGCAUACACACACACACACACACACACACACACACACACACACACACAUGCAUACAUACGUCUUCUCUGGCUCACUCACACACUCUCCUGUUGUCUUUAUCUCAAUAUCACAGACUCACAGACUCACACACAAAACACACACUUGCUCCAUUGUUGUUAACAUCACUCUCACACACACACACACACACACACACACACACACACACACACACACACACAACAUCAGCUGCUGUGUCUCUGUGUGUUUUGGGGGUAUUGUCUGGUCUCCCCAGGAGUCCGUCCCCCCCCCCCCCCCCCCCCACACACACACACACACACACACACUCAUUCCCCCAGUUCAUCUCCUCUCUAUAACGACCAUGCUCACACACACAGGCUAUUGUCAUGGGAGUAAUACCAGAGUCUCACUACGUCACACACACACACACACACACACACACACACACACACACACACACACACACACGCGCGCGCACGCACUCUCUCCUUUAUGCUCACUCACAGAACUGUCUGGUAGACAUUCCCUGUCAUCUGGUCGCUCAAAUCUCCACACACACACACACACACACACACACACACACACACACACACACCCUCUCAUCCAAAAUCCAGAGGGUCCCCAGAUGGUGCUCAGGGAGAUUAAAGAGAAUUAUGGGUGGGGGGCAGGGGGGGUCUGGACACAAAAUCACAGAGGCCGCUCGCUCAUGCAACACACACACACACACACACACACACACACACACACACACACACACACACACACACACACACACACACACACACAGACACACACACACACAGACACACACACACACACACACACACACACAGACACACAGACACACACACACACACACACACACACACACACACACACAGACACACACACACACACACACACACACACUCACAGACAACUCACGCACAGGUCAUUCAUGAACAUCACAGAAUGCUUGACUUCUCUAGAUUCUGUGUGGAUCAGUAGAACCCAGCAGCGGUUCUCCGUUCUCCGUUUCCUGUGGUGUGUGUGUAGUCCCGGGUGUGUGUGUGUAGUCCUGGGUGUGUGUGUGUAG